rnacentral:rRNA from 1 species
AACGAACGCUGGCGGCAGGCUUAACACAUGCAAGUCGAGCGCGUAGCAAUACGAGCGGCAGACGGGUGAGUAACGCGUGGGAAUCUACCCAUCACUACGGAAUAACUCAGGGAAACUUGUGCUAAUACCGUAUACGACCGAGAGGUGAAAGAUUUAUCGGUGAUGGAUGAGCCCGCGUUGGAUUAGCUAGUUGGUGGGGUAAAGGCCUACCAAGGCGACGAUCCAUAGCUGGUCUGAGAGGAUGAUCAGCCACAUUGGGACUGAGACACGGCCCAAACUCCUACGGGAGGCAGCAGUGGGGAAUAUUGGACAAUGGGCGCAAGCCUGAUCCAGCCAUGCCGCGUGAGUGAUGAAGGCCUUAGGGUUGUAAAGCUCUUUCACCGGAGAAGAUAAUGACGGUAUCCGGAGAAGAAGCCCCGGCUAACUUCGUGCCAGCCGCCGCGGUAAUAC